UGCGCAGGCGGCGGCCCAAGUCAGGUGUGAAAUCCCCGGGCUUAACCUGGGAAUUGCGCUUGAAACUAGGUCGCUAGAGUGUGGCAGAGGGGGGUGGAAUUCCACGUGUAGCAGUGAAAUGCGUAGAGAUGUGGAGGAACACCGAUGGCGAAGGCAGCCCCCUGGGUCAACACUGACGCUCAGGCACGAAAGCGUGGGAGCAAACA
rnacentral:rRNA from 1 species